rnacentral:rRNA from 1 species
UACAGAGGGUGCAAGCGUUGUUCGGAAUUAUUGGGCGUAAAGGGCGCGUAGGCGGAUCGUUAAGUCAGGGGUGAAAUCCUGGAGCUCAACUCCAGAACUGCCUUUGAUACUGAAGAUCUUGAGUUCGGGAGAGGUGAGUGGAACUGCGAGUGUAGAGGUGAAAUUCGUAGAUAUUCGCAAGAACACCAGUGGCGAAGGCGGCUCACUGGCCCGAUACUGACGCUGAGGCACGAAAGCGUGGGGGAGCAAACAGG